GUUGUGAGGUUAAGCGACUAAGCGUACACGGUGGAUGCCCUGGCAGUCAGAGGCGAUGAAGGACGUGCUAAUCUGCGAAAAGCGUCGGUAAGGUGAUAUGAACCGUUACAGCCGGCGAUGUCCGAAUGGGGAAACCCAGUGCAAUUCGUUGCACUACCGUUAACUGAAUACAUAGGUUAACGAGGCGAACCGGGGGAACUGAAACAUCUAAGUACCCCGAGGAAAAGAAAUCAACCGAGAUUCCCUCAGUAGCGGCGAGCGAACGGGGAUUAGCCCUUAAGCAUCUUGGAAGUUAGUGGAACGGUCCUGGAAAGGCCGGCGAUACAGGGUGAUAGCCCCGUACACGAAAACAACCUUGAUGUGAAAUCGAGUAGGGCGGGACACGUGACAUCCUGUCUGGAUAUGGGGGGACCAUCCUCCAAGGCUAAAUACUCCUGACUGACCGAUAGUGAACCAGUACCGUGAGGGAAAGGCGAAAAGAACCCCUGUGAGGGGAGUGAAAUAGAACCUGAAACCGUGUACGUACAAGCAGUGGGAGCCCUUCGGGGUGACUGCGUACCUUUUGUAUAAUGGGUCAGCGACUUACAUUUUGUAGCGAGGUUAACCGUAUAGGGGAGCCGUAGGGAAACCGAGUCUUAACUGGGCGUCUAGUUGCAAGGUGUAGACCCGAAACCGGGUGAUCUAGCCAUGGGCAGGUUGAAGGUUGAGUAACAUCAACUGGAGGACCGAACCCACUAACGUUGCAAAGUUAGGGGAUGACCUGUGGCUGGGGGUGAAAGGCCAAUCAAACUCGGAGAUAGCUGGUUCUCUCCGAAAGCUAUUUAGGUAGCGCCUCGGACGAAUACUACUGGGGGUAGAGCACUGUUUGGGCUAGGGGGUCAUCCCGACUUACCAACCCCAUGCAAACUCCGAAUACCAGUAAGUAAUAUCCGGGAGACACACGGCGGGUGCUAACGUCCGUCGUGAAGAGGGAAACAACCCAGACCGCCGGCUAAGGUCCCAAAGUUCUGGUUAAGUGGGAAACGAUGUGGGAAGGCUCAGACAGCUAGGAUGUUGGCUUAGAAGCAGCCAUCAUUUAAAGAAAGCGUAAUAGCUCACUAGUCGAGUCGGCCUGCGCGGAAGAUGUAACGGGGCUCAAACCAGGCACCGAAGCCGCGGAUUCACACUAAGUGUGAGUGGUAGGGGAGUGUUCUGUAAGUCUGCGAAAGUGUAUCGAGAGGUACGCUGGAGAUAUCAGAAGUGCGUAUGCUGACGUAAGUAACGAUAAAGGGGGUGAAAAGCCUCCUGCCGGAAGACCAAGGUUCCUGUCCAACGUUAAUCGGGGCGGGGUGAGUCGACCCCUAAGCGAGGCCGAAAGGCGUAGUCGAUGGGAAGCAGGCUAAUAUUCCUGCACGACUUGUAAUUGCGAUGGGGGGACGGAGAAGGCUAGGUGGGCCAGGCGACGGUUGUCCUGGUGAAAGUGCGUANGUGGUGUUUCUAGGCAAAUCCGGAGACACAACACUGAGACACGAGACGAACGCACUAACGGUGCGGAAGCCAUGGAUGCCCUGCUUACAGGAAAAGCCUCUAAGCUUAAGAAUAACAGUAAUGGUACCCCAAACCGACACAGGGGGUCGGGUAGGGAAUACCAAGGCGCCUUGAGAGAACUCGGGUGAAAGGAACUAGGCAAAAUAAAACCGUAACUUCGGGAGAAGGUUCGCUCUUGGACAGUGAAGUCCCUUGCGGAUGGAGCAGUUGGGAGUCGCAGUGACCAGAUGGCUGGGACUGUUUAUCAAAAACACAGCACUCUGCAAACACGAAAGUGNACGUAUAGGGUGUGACACCUGCCCGGUGCCGGAAGGUUAAUUGAUGGGGUUAGCGCAAGCGAAGCUCUUGAUCGAAGCCCCGGUAAACGGCGGCCGUAACUAUAACGGUCCUAAGGUAGCGAAAUUCCUUGUCGGGUAAGUUCCGACCUGCACGAAUGGUGUAACCAUGGCCAUGCUGUCUCCACCCGAGACUCAGUGAAAUCGAAUUCGCCGUGAAGAUGCGGUGUACCCGCGGCUAGACGGAAAGACCCCGUGAACCUUUACUACAGCUUGGCACUGAACAUUGAACCUACAUGUGUAGGAUAGGUGGGAGGCUUUGAAGGCGUGACGCCAGUUGCGCUGGAGCCGUCCUUGAAAUACCACCCUUGUAUGUUUGAUGUUCUAACGCAGGCCCCUGAAUCGGGGUCGCGGACAGUGCCUGGAGGGUAGUUUGACUGGGGCGGUCUCCUCCCAAAGAGUAACGGAGGAGCACGAAGGUUGGCUAAUCCUGGUCGGACAUCAGGAGGUUAGUGCAAUGGCAUAAGCCAGCUUAACUGCGAGACGGACAGGUCGAGCAGGUACGAAAGUAGGUCAUAGUGAUCCGGUGGUUCUGAAUGGAAGGGCCAUCGCUCAACGAAUAAAAGCAAUCGAAUUACCCGCGGCCGGCCAUGGCGGCGAGAAGGCUGCCUAG
rnacentral:rRNA from 1 species